GCGGGCGAGGUUGCUUCGGUAACUGAGCUAGCGGCGGACGGGUGAGUAAUGCUUAGGAAUCUGCCUAUUAGUGGGGGACAACAUUCCGAAAGGAAUGCUAAUACCGCAUACGCCCUACGGGGGAAAGCAGGGGAUCUUCGGACCUUGCGCUAAUAGAUGAGCCUAAGUCAGAUUAGCUAGUUGGUGGGGUAAAGGCCUACCAAGGCGACGAUCUGUAGCGGGUCUGAGAGGAUGAUCCGCCACACUGGGACUGAGACACGGCCCAGACUCCUACGGGAGGCAGCAGUGGGGAAUAUUGGACAAUGGGCGCAAGCCUGAUCCAGCCAUGCCGCGUGUGUGAAGAAGGCCUUUUGGUUGUAAAGCACUUUAAGCGAGGAGGAGGCUACUUGGAUUAAUACUCUAGGAUAGUGGACGUUACUCGCAGAAUAAGCACCGGCUAACUCUGUGCCAGCAGCCGCGGUAAUACAGAGGGUGCGAGCGUUAAUCGGAUUUACUGGGCGUAAAGCGUGCGUAGGCGGCUUCUUAAGUCGGAUGUGAAAUCCCUGAGCUUAACUUAGGAAUUGCAUUCGAUACUGGGAAGCUAGAGUAUGGGAGAGGAUGGUAGAAUUCCAGGUGUAGCGGUGAAAUGCGUAGAGAUCUGGAGGAAUACCGAUGGCGAAGGCAGCCAUCUGGCCUAAUACUGACGCUGAGGUACGAAAGCAUGGGGAGCAAACAGGAUUAGAUACCCUGGUAGUCCAUGCCGUAAACGAUGUCUACUAGCCGUUGGGGCCUUUGAGGCUUUAGUGGCGCAGCUAACGCG
rnacentral:rRNA from 1 species